rnacentral:antisense_RNA from 1 species
GCUCUGUCCUGUGGCCUGGCGCAGGAAAGGCGACCCAGUAGUUCAGCCUGUACCAGCUGCCUGCCCCAGCACCAUCCCAGACCCCUUUCCCUGGGGCCCACCUUGGCCCUGAGGAAGGCCAGAGCUCGGCUGCUGUUCUCCAGGAAGUGCACACGCAGGCGGCCCCGGCUGGGGGGUGGCAGGGCUUCCCCUGAGAUGAGCUCCAGCAGCCGCAGGAGGUGGAUGCCGUCAGCCAGCUCUGUGUACAGGUUCUGGAUCUUGAUGCCCACCUGGGGAGGGGACGGGCGUAGGUAUGGGGUCAGCCCAGCCUCACCUGUCCUCCCAUCCUGGGACCUGAGAGGUGCGACCCAGAGCAGCUGCUUUGGAAGAAGGAGCUCUGGCCUCAGCUUGGCCUCAGGCAGAUGACUCCACAGCUCACCCCGGAGGCCCACUGGCCAGAGCUGGGGGCGUGGUACGGGUGGGCUGUGGGUCACAGCUGGCUGUACUCACCUGGCCGCACUGGAAGACGUUGUUGAUCCACUUGGUGAAAGUCUUCUCCUGCAUCUGCAUGUGCCGGGCCUGCAGCUUGCGGAUGUGGCCCGUCUCGUACUGAGAGUCCAUGGUGAGACUUGGACUGGGCAGGACCCGGAGCUCUGUGCUGGGCCUCCUGCUGCGGUGCCCUGCAGCCCUGAGGAGCUCCCGGGGACUGUGGGGCUGACCAGCCAUCAGCCCUGCAGACUUUGGGGAUGAGGAGCUGCUGGAUGGCUCCCUAAACUUGGAGGGCAUGUGCAGGUUAGGGGAUGAUGUGAAUGGAGAUGGCCCCUCUGCCAGGGGCCUGGGGUCCCACCUUGCCAGACUGUCCUCACACUUCAUGGCGGUUGCAGCUUGGAGCCCAGCCAGGUAAGGGCCAGUGCUUCUGGUCCCCUGCGCUUGAAUGGCCCAGGGCCCCCUUUACCCCACCCCACCUUCCAGAUUCUUCUUCUCAGAGCCCCUGCUGCCAGGUCCCUCCACCACAGUGACUGGGACAGGUGGAAGGAAGAUAGGAAACUGCUUACCUUGGUGAUGCCUGGGUCCCGCAGAGGCUGCCCAGCUGGACGGAUGGAGAUGGCAGAUAGCAGGGGCUGCUUACCUUGGUGAUGCCUGGGUCCCGCAGAGGCUGCCCAGCUGGACGGAUGGAGAUGGCAGAUAGCAGGGGCUGUGCAGGGAGGGAGAGGGACAUCAGGAGAGGCCAAGGCUGGAGCAGGGCCGCACCACAGCCCUCCCCUUGAGCCAGCGUGCUGGGGUGACAGCACACAGGCAGCAUUGUCCUCCCACCUGCCACAGGGCGUGGCCCAGACUGGGAGGGGGUGGUUCAAGAAUGCUCCAGGGCCAUUGCCAGAUGAUCUCCUCCUUCAUCAUCCUCCCUUCCCCGCCAGCAACUUCCCCAACUCCAGGUGGGGGUCCUGGCUCCCAGGAUGCAGAGGCCCAUUGGGCGGCCCUGCCACUGCAUGGGGUGCUGCAGUCUGCGUAGCAGGCACCAAAGGGCGGAGCCUCUGUGGGAAGCCUGUGGACGCACUUCCCAAUCUGAGACUGCCCUCUGUACCCUCGUGGGGCCUCUCUGUGAGCACCCAGGGUGAGGGGAUGAGGGAGCGUCCUGGGCUGUGGUCUUCUCAUUCACCCCCAGGGAACAGCCCAUAGACUGAGGGCCUCAUAGACCCUGUGCUUGGCUUUCCAGGCCCUGCCAGAGUGCAGCCUGCCUAGCCCGGGGCUGAAGGGUAGGCUCCCCAGAGGAAGGGGAGAACUGGAACUGUGAGGGCUGUGGAGUCUCCUCCAAAAUUAGAGACACGGUGUUAACUCUGGGCUCUACAGAGCUGGCCAUGGCCCGGGGCUCGGAGGCAGGGGUGCAGAGGGAGCUGGUGGGCGCCUAUCCCUUCCUCCCUGAGCAGCUGUGGACUACAUGCCAGAGUGAAGGCGAGUUCUAAUUCUGGGGGUCUCACCCGCCUCUAGCUAAACUCAGGGUAGCAGUGUGGGCUGGGGUGUGUGUGUGUGGGUGUCUUCCAGCAGCCCCGGAGCCUCUGAAGCGACAGCCUGCUCCUCAGGGAGGCGCUCCUGGCAGCCACAGCCCACAGCAGGACAGCCGCUCAGCCUGCCCUUGAGUGCUGGGCUAGGGAUGAGUCACACCUGAACCGCCUGGGCCCACUGCAGGCAGUCAGGGGUGACGCUGAGAGGUGCCGUGGUCUCGGGUGGGGUGCGGCUUCCUGCGUCUGAGAGAUGCUUCCUCUCCUGCUGUCCUCUCCCUGCCAGGCCCUUCCUGCACCGGCUGGCUUCCAGACACCCUGCGCUCCUCCCUUGCUUGCAGGAGUUGCUGCAGUGGUCCUCCCGUGCACCCCCCUUCUGCCCUCACUGCCCGUGGGGGUCCUCUUCACUGACCCCCUAACUCGGCAUCCUAGGCACCACCACCCCACACCUUUCCACAGUGCAGCUCUACUCACGCCUGUGAAGCCUCCCACAGCCUGGGAAGGAAAACCCAGACUUGCCAGACCUUGCCUCAGCCAGGCCUUUGAAGCCCGCCAGCUUACCUAACCAGGAAGACCCUCAGCCCAUGGAGUCCUGUGUGAUGUUGUGAGCGGGGAGGACAGACUGAACUGUGUGGUGCUUCACACAUAGACCUCAACAUAGAUUGGCAUUUUGAAGCUGUUGGCGGGGACUGUGGACUGCUUUUCUUCCUCUCUAGCUCAACGGCAGCUAAAGCCACUGCACACAAUGCAAGGACUGGCUCCUGUUUGGCCGUGACUGAUUGCAGCCCCUGGUGAAAUGAGAACCCUGUGGGUCGGAACAAAGUUUGGAUUAUUUAUGUUGCAAGUAACCAAAAUCUCAAGUGAAACCGG